CAUAAUCUGAAUAAGAUCACUACAUUCAAUAAACUGUACAACCUUUAUUUCUGUAAUUUCCUCAAAGAAGGCAAAGGGACAACCACAUAAAACCCUUGCACGAAAUGUGGAGUCAAAACCUCACCCACAAAGAAUGGUGAGAAUGUGCAGAUUGAUGAAAGACAAGCUGCAAUAAUUUUCAAGUACAAAGUUAGAAAAUGAACAAUGGUUCUGAAUGGAGAUCAAUUGACAGUAAAGCUUCUGUCAAGAGAUGAGCUCAAGAGGGAGAUCUUUCUUCGCCCUCCAAAGAAGGCAACAAAUACAGUGGGG